GGCAUAGAGCCCUCGCUUUUGUGCACCGUAGGGUGGUACACGAAUAAGGGCUGGGCAAGACCGGUGCCAGCCGCCGCGGUAAUACCGGCAGCCCGAGUGAUGGCCGAUCUUAUUGGGCCUAAAGCGUCCGUAGCUGGCCGCACAAGUCCGUCGGGAAAUCCACCCGCUUAACGGGUGGGCGUCCGGCGGAAACUGUGCGGCUUGGGACCGGAAGACCCGAGGGGUACGUCCGGGGUAGGAGUGAAAUCCUGUAAUCCUGGACGGACCGCCGAUGGCGAAAGCACCUCGGGAAGACGGAUCCGACAGUGAGGGACGAAAGCUAGGGUCUCGAACCGGAUUAGAUACCCGGGGAGUCCUACUGUAAACAAUGCCUGUUACGAGCGGCCCAUUCG
rnacentral:rRNA from 2 species